rnacentral:rRNA from 1 species
AUGGGGUGCAGCAGGCGCGAAACCUCCGCAAUGCGGGAAACCGCGACGGGGGGACCCCCAGUGCCGUGCCUCUGGCACGGCUUUUCCGGAGUGUAAAAAGCUCCGGGAAUAAGGGCUGGGCAAGGCCGGUGGCAGCCGCCGCGGUAAUACCGGCGGCCCGAGUGGUGGCCACUAUUAUUGGGCCUAAAGCGGCCGUAGCCGGGCCCGUAAGUCCCUGGCGAAAUCCCACGGCUCAACCGUGGGGCUCGCUGGGGAUACUGCGGGCCUUGGGACCGGGAGAGGCCGGGGGUACCCCCGGGGUAGGGGUGAAAUCCUAUAAUCCCGGGGGGACCGCCAGUGGCGAAGGCGCCCGGCUGGAACGGGUCCGACGGUGAGGGCCGAAGGCCAGGGGAGCGAACCGGAUUAGAUACCCGGGUAGUCCUGGCUGUAAAGGAUGCGGGCUAGGUGUCGGGCGAGCUUCGAGCUCGCCCGGUGCCGUAGGGAAGCCGUUAAGCCCGCCGCCUGGGGAGUACGGCCGCAAGGCUGAAACUUAAAGGAAUUGGCGGGGGAGCAC